rnacentral:rRNA from 1 species
GGGUUUGAUCCUGGCUGGAGGGUGAACGCUGGCGGUAUGCCUAAGACAUGCAAGUCGCACGAACCAGUUUCGGCUGGUUAGUGGCGGACGGGUGAGUAACACGUGGGAGACGUGCCCUCAAGUGGGGGAAAACCAGGGGAAACCCUGGCUAAUCCCCCAUGUGAACCCCCGCCCUGGCGGGUGUUUAAAGCUUCGGCGCUUGAGGAUCGGCCCGCGCUGCAUCAGGUAGUUGGUGGGGUAAUGGCCUACCAAGCCGACGACGCAUAGCUGGUCUGAGAGGACGACCAGCCACAGGAGCACUGAGACACGGGCUCCACUCCUACGGGAGGCAGCAGUUAGGAAUCUUCGGCAAUGGGCGAAAGCCUGACCGAGCGAUACCGCUUGAAGGAUGAAGCCCUUCGGGGUGUAAACUUCUGAACUCGGGACGAUCAUGACGGUACCGAGGUAAUAGCACCGGCUAACUCCGUGCCAGCAGCCGCGGUAAUACGGAGGGUGCGAGCGUUACCCGGAUUUACUGGGCGUAAAGGGCGUGUAGGCGGUCUUUCAAGUCCGAUGCUAAAGUCUGGGGCUCAACCCCAGGACUGCGUUGGAUACUGUGAGGCUAGACGGUCGGAGGGGGUAGCGGAAUUUCCGGAGUAGCGGUGAAAUGCGCAGAUACCGGAAGGAACGCCAAUAGCGAAGGCAGCUACCUGGACGACUUGUGAC